rnacentral:rRNA from 1 species
UACGAAGGGGGCUAGCGUUGCUCGGAAUCACUGGGCGUAAAGCGCACGUAGGCGGACUCUUAAGUCGGGGGUGAAAUCCUGGAGCUCAACUCCAGAACUGCCUUCGAUACUGGGAGUCUUGAGUUCGGGAGAGGUGAGUGGAACUGCGAGUGUAGAGGUGAAAUUCGUAGAUAUUCGGAGGAACACCAGUGGCGAAGGCGGCUCACUGGUCCGGUACUGACGCUGAGGUGCGAAAGCGUGGGGAGCAAACAGG